rnacentral:rRNA from 1 species
GACGAACGCUGGCGGCGUGCUUAACACAUGCAAGUCGAACGGAAAGGCCCUGCUUUUGUGGGGUGCUCGAGUGGCGAACGGGUGAGUAACACGUGAGUAACCUGCCCUUGACUUUGGGAUAACUUCAGGAAACUGGGGCUAAUACCGGAUAGGAGCUCCUGCUGCAUGGUGGGGGUUGGAAAGUUUCGGCGGUUGGGAUGGACUCGCGGCUUAUCAGCUUGUUGGUGGGGUAGUGGCUUACCAAGGCUUUGACGGGUAGCCGGCCUGAGAGGGUGACCGGCCACAUUGGGACUGAGAUACGGCCCAGACUCCUACGGGAGGCAGCAGUGGGGAAUAUUGCACAAUGGGCGGAAGCCUGAUGCAGCAACGCCGCGUGCGGGAUGACGGCCUUCGGGCUGUAAACCGCUUUCGCCUGUGACGAAGCGUGAGUGACGGUAAUGGGUAAAGAAGCACCGGCUAACUACGUG